rnacentral:piRNA from 1 species
UAUCCAACAUGGCGGGCAUGCACA